rnacentral:tRNA from 1 species
GCCUGGGUGGCUUGGUCGGUUAAGCGUCUGACUUCGGCUCAGGUCAUGAUCUCACGGUCCGUGGGUUCGAGCCCCGCAUCGGGCU